AGAGCCCGGCGGGUGGGAGCUGUGGGGAGAGCCCGGGUCCCGCACGGCUUCCCCAGGCCUCGUACCCCUCACUGAGCACGUGGGGAAGGGUCUAGGGACGAAGCGGCAUCCGAGGGGACGCGGGGUGAGAGGGGACAGAUGGCUCGCCAGAAGGGACACGAGGGAACCGCUGGAGAUGUGUCAGGCAGGGUCAGGCUGGAGAUCAUGGAAAGGCUCUUCCCCCAGAGGGUGCUGGCACUGCCCAGGCUCCCCAGGGAAUGGGCACGGCCCCGAGGCUGCCAGAGCUCCAGGAGCCUUUGGACAGCGCUGCCAGGGAUGCCCAGGCUGGGGUCGGUGGGGUGUCUGGGCAGGGACAGGGGCUGGACUCAAUGAUCCUUGUUGGUUUCUUCCAUGUCAGGAAAGUCUGUGAUUCCAUGAUUGUCUGAACAGCUUGGGCAACACCAUGCCUGCCUCCUCUUCCCCAACUCUUUCUUCCCCCCACAGCACACCCAGGGCUGAAAUCACCCCUUGCCCUUUUAGCCUCGAAGCUCCCAGCUCUUGGUCCCCACGUGUUUGAGAGUUGUUUUGCCACAACACAAAACAGGGAAAGCCUUUCUCUACCCCCACACAAAACUCAUCCUGACACCCUGUCCCUCCACCAAGAGCUUUUCCUCACCAUAUGCUCACAACGCUCAUCGCUGCUCUUGUUUGCUCAAGCAAACCUUGUUAAUUUCAUCAGCAAACUUUGUUAAUUUCCUCCAAAAAGAAAGGGAAAAAAAAUCAGUGCUUUUCUUCCCCUGGAAAGCACACAGCAUUAACUAUAAACAUAAUUACAUCUCAUACAUACCUGGUGUUUUCUUCCUUGUGAAGCAGUACCAAAAAUAGUUAUUAAUAAUAUUAAUAAAAUAAUCUGAACUUGUGAAUUUUCCUGCCCCAGCCCAUGAAACUCUCUUUCCCAAGAGCUCCACAAAACCAAGGAUUUGUAUGAAGCCAAAUGCUGAUUUUGCUCUUGUUCCCCAGCCUAAAGACAACUUCAAAGAUAUUGCAAAACACAGAUUUAUUUUUCUUAAUAUCUUUUAUGCAGAUUUCAUUCCAAAUCACUGUACGGUCAGAUAAUGUAAUUACAGAGCUAAAUAAAAACAAAGGGGCAGGGGAAUUGGUGGAGACAUUGGGCAAGGGAAGAUGUUUUCUGAGUGAGCUUAGAAGGGAUGUGGGAAGUCAAGAAGCAGAAACCACUCACAAGGUUUCAGCCCCAGCGCAGGCAUGAAGUGCAGCCAGAAGGAAUCCCCCGUGGAGCAGACUAAAGCAGAAUUUGGUGUUUGACAAAUGUUUGAGGAGGGUUUGGGGGAAAAUGCGGUUUUGACACGGAGUUUGCAGAAUGAGGAGAAGCUCGGAUAUACUCUCACCAUACCUUUGUGUUUGGAAACCUGCUUGCAGCCCUCCAAAAGCCACAGCCUGGAGGUAAAAGUUGCCUGCCCCACUGUGUCGCUCAUGGCUGAGGGCACAUUUCAAGCCAUGCCUGGAUGCUUUGAAGCAUGUUCAGCACUGGAGAACCCAUCACAGCUCAUGGUGUGGCCAACCAUUGCCCAACCAUUGCCCAACCAUUCGUCACCUUCUCGCUUUGAGCCUGACCCUGUUUUGCUUCCAUUUGAUCCAUUUGUAACAUGGAAAAGCUUUCUGCCCUCCACAAACUGUGAAUAAAUCAUACCUUCACCUUCUUUUGCGGACCCUCUUCCCUCUGGAAGGACAAUGUUUGAGCUCUCCAAGCUUCCUCAGCCCAAACCUCCCAUUUCUUUUGGUCAUGGAGACAGAAUAGAUGCAGAAAAGGGGUGGCACCUGUGAAACUCACAGAGAUCCCAACCAGAUCUCUGUCAUGCGUGUUUUUGCAAUGGCUUUGCAGUCUGCUUUGUCUGCUCAGCAAGCACAGACAUUGCUCUGAGUGGAGGGGUUUGGGGUCCACAGGGGAGAGUUCCCAGUUCUGGGUCUGAUCUCAGAGUUCAAAGCCUCCCUCCUGAGGGAUUUGGCUGUUGGUUGGUCCUGACUUUGUGAAACCGGCCCUUAGAAUGUGCCUGUGUUCCUGCUGCUGAUUUUGUGCUGUUUAGACACAAAAAACACCAUCACUGGUGACCCCUCCUGCCUGAGGGACAGCCCCCUCUCCUCCAAUGGAGUGAGGUCCAGUGCAGAAAUUCUGCAAGUCAAGACAUCCUUGAUUAGGAAAUUUCUAUGGAUUAGGUCUGGGAAAUUCCAAGCAUGUUUUAUUCCUGGCAGAGUGAGAUACCCAUCAGGUCACUCAGGCUGAAGUCCCUUCUGAUGAGGAGACCUCUUUGGGACAGAUGUUUUAGUCUUGCCACUCCAGUAGCAUCCAAUGGGCUCUUAUGUCCUGACUGGUACCAAAUUUUGGCUUUGUCUCUCAAAACUUCCUCAUUAUCAGUGACCAAAGCCUGAAAACCCACAUCCUUAUUUUGAAGUACCCUCAGACCUUCCCUGGGUAACAGCUAAUGACAGGCCAAUUGCAGUCAGGAACUCUCCACACCACAUUUCAGAACACUUUCCAAGAAAGGUCAGUCAUUUACUCCAGCUUCUGGUGUCCGCAGGCAGAGAUGACAGUGGUACUCACAUCUCUGUGGGAUUCCCAGCCUGAAAAGGUUGAAUUCCUCCUGGAACAUCAGUAUCUGCACGGCGCUGGGCUUGCCAGAGCUCAGGAGAUUCCGUGAUUCUUUGAAUGCUCACCUGAGGACAAAGAUACAACACAGUGGAGCUGUGAUUGCUUUCGUCCCCUCGUUUGCUGGGACCGUGUGCACCCUGAGAGCUUGAAAGGAUCUGCACCAGUGUGAGCUGCAGCACGGACUGGGGAUCUCUGCAAUGGACUAAAUGCUCUGAAAACCAACAGUGGAC